rnacentral:sRNA from 1 species
AGAUGCCAGCGGGGGAGAUGCCAGCGUCAGAUGCCAGCGGGGGCACCGCCUGUGACAGCGAGGCAUCCGCAGUGAUCUGGGCGCCUGGGGGUCACUGAGCUCCGUUUAUAAACCGGGCGUUCAAGUGCAUCUGUGACGUAUUCAGAAAAUAGCACAGCCCUGCAAGGGAUCACAGCAAACCCCCCAGUCCGCCGUCCACCCGAGAGACACCUGCGUGUUUGCCCCUUGGAGUCUUCCAGUUGCACCGUGAAAUCUCACUGGGCUAGAAAUUCCAGACUCCCGCUACAGCCUCUGGGAAUCUUGUGUUUGUGCAGCAGACAGUCCUCUGGGAAGGAUUUUCAGAGCAAACAAAGUCACCGUCCGUCGUCAAGCUUUCACAUCUCUCCAGGGUUGCAGGAGGAGAGGGCCGAGGCUGGGCUUCCUUCCUCAUGGCCUCUGCGUCCUGUCUCAUCUGCCCACUGACUUUGUCUCCUCUCUGCGUCUGGCGUGGAACAGCCCUGCAUCCAAGGCACCUCUGUCCUGGCUGCUCUCUGGGCUGCUGCCUGCUCAGCGGGGGACACAGCAGCUGGGCAAAGUGCACCUGGAGCUGCGGCUGAGCGAGGUCAUCACAGACACUGGGGUCGUCUGCCACAAGCUCGCCACACGCAUCGUCGAGUGCCAGGGUCUCCCCAUCGUGAACGGACAGUGUGACCCCUACGCCACCGUAACGCUGGCAGGACCCUUCAGGCAAAAGCAAAGAAGACGAAAGUGAAGAGGAAGACCAACAACCCCCAGUUCGAUGAAGUGUUUUAUUUUGAGGUGACCCGGCCCUGUAGCUACAGCAAGAAGUCCCACUUUGACUUUGAGGAGGAAGACGUGGACAAGCUCGAAAUCAGAGUCGACCUUUGGAAUGCCAGUAACCUGAAGUUUGGAGAUGAAUUCCUGGGAGAACUAAGGAUCCCGUUGAAAGUCCUGCGGCAGUCCAGCUCCUACGAG